GUGGGUAUAGCUCAGUGGUAGAGUGCAUGCUUAGCAUGCGUGAGGUCCUGGGUUCAAUCCUCAGUACCUCCA
rnacentral:tRNA from 1 species